GGAGAGAAAGACAAAGAGACGGAGGUGGGCGGCCCUAACAGUUUCCUCCAUUUCAUUUCAAACCGGCGAGCGGGCAGGUGUGGAGUGUUGCUGCAGGUGUGGACUGCCGGCGACCUGCGUGACAAAGGAAGGUUUGGAAGAAAGCAAGAAACAAGAACAAUUAAGAUGAACCACCACUAGCCACACCACAGAGCUGUUACUGCUGGCACCACCACCAUCACCUCCACCACCACCACCACCCUGCCAAGUGGACACCCCAGUGUGAGCAGAGCCAUCAACACCAGCCUGAGGACUAAUUGCUUAUGUACCAGAGGAGUGUGACAGUCUACCAAUACCUUGGAAGGAAGGUGAUGGUGAGGAACAGUGAAGAAAGAUGACGGAGCAGAAACAGGCCCACACCAUCCUGGAAUGUGCUGCAAAUAAUCUUGGUUACCGGCAAAGUAAAGAGAUAAAGAGAUAGAUAGAUACAGAUAGAUAAUUAUUAGUAAGAGUGAGAUUAAGAUAGAUAGAUAAUUAUUAUUAAGAGUGUUAGUUAGAUAGAUAUAUACAGAGAUAGAUAAUUAUUAGUAAGAGUGAGAUUAAGAGUGAGAUUAAGAUAGAUAAUUAUUAUUAAGAGUGCUAGAUUAUUAUAUUCUUAUUAUAUUAUUAUUUUAUUUGUGUGUGUGGUGUGUGUGUGUGUGUGUUCUCUUUUCAGAAGUGUGUUUGGAAUGCAAGAAAUAUACAAGACCACAGAAGAUUCUAUAGUGGUGGUGGGUGGUAGUAGUAGUAGUAAUAGUAGUAGUAGUAGUAGUACUUUAUCAAUAUACAGGGCA